rnacentral:rRNA from 1 species
CCUACGGGUGGCAGCAGUGAGGAAUAUUGGUCAAUGGGCGAGAGCCUGAACCAGCCAAGUCGCGUGAGGGAGUACUGCCCUAUGGGUUGUAAACCUCUUUUGUCGGGGAGCAAAAGCCGGACGUGUCCGGCUGUGAGAGUACCCGAAGAAAAAGCAUCGGCUAACUCCGUGCCAGCAGCCGCGGUAAUACGGAGGAUGCGAGCGUUAUCCGGAUUUAUUGGGUUUAAAGGGUGCGCAGGCGGAUUUUUAAGUCAGCGGUAAAAUCGAGGGGCUCAACCCCAUCCAGCCGUUGAAACUGGGGAUCUAGAGUGUGCGAGAGGUAUGCGGAAUGCGUGGUGUAGCGGUGAAAUGCAUAGAUAUCACGCAGAACCCCGAUUGCGAAGGCAGCAUACCGGUGCACAACUGACGCUCAGGCACGAAAGCGUGGGUAUCGAACAGGAUUAGAUACCCUUGUAGUC